rnacentral:lncRNA from 1 species
UAAAAUUUUAUUUAUUUAUUUAUUUUGAGACAGGGUUUCUGAGGGUCUCACUAAAUUGCUGAGACUGGCCUCAAACUUGUGAUCCUCCUGCUUCAGCCUCCCAAGUCACUGGGAUAACAAAUUGUACCACUGUGCCCAGUGAAGCUCUGUUUUAUAAGCAUCCUGGAACACUUGAGGUAAGUUUGACAACAGAAUAAAUGAUUUCAGUCAAUGGAGUCCAUAUUCUUUCAGCUGGGGAGAAUCUCAGAAGUCACGAGUUUCUCUUUGGCAGAAUUAUGAAUGGUGAAGCAGAGAUUGAGUCUCUACCAGUCAGAUGGCCAUUGUGAUAGGGAUGUAGAGCACUGGCCAUGUAGAGCACAAGACAUGGACUCCAGGGCCUUCCCUUGGACUUCCCACAGUGUGCUUCUCCACACACCAAUUUUCCCUAUACCCUAUCCCUUCCCUGAACCCCAGCCUGUGUGGGCCUUAAUCCUCCCAGGACCCCCUCUUCCCUCCAACAUGCUUUCAACUUAUAGGCUGCUUCUUGCCCACUGAAUGGUGAAAGUGAGUGAUGGUUUCCAGUCCAUCUGCUUUUGGUAACAAGCAGAGGGGCUGGGAGUGGGAAAGUGUAUCCUCUGCAUUUAUGAGUGACUCUGGGAUCUAUACUCCUGGGUCUCUGAACUUGCCUUCCAACCUCAUCUCUCAUUUUCUCCCUCUGCCUCUCAGUUCCUCUCCCUGGGUUUAACCCUUAGCCAUCCUCUUAGUGACUUCAACAAUAGGAAAGUACUGGAAGGAGGACCCUAUUGUAAAGAAAUUGUAUUAUAAUUACCCUCACUAUGGUCUCAUUGAACUACUUUAUUCCCCAGAGGAAAUAAUUUGAUCACAAUAUGAGGACAUGGUCACUGCUAAAUGACAAUGGAGUUCCGGGGAAGUCAGUGCGACAGUGUGUUUGAAGGACUGCCCAUGACUAAAAUCCAAGCAGGAAGCAAGAGGAAGUUGAGCAAAGGGUUUGCUGUAAGUGAAAGACAGAUCCUGCCAAAGUAGAACCACCCAGUUGGUUAUUUUAAAAAGAAGUUGGAACAGAGUGGAUUUUGGUUUCUUGAAACCCGCAUGUAUAUACCAGAAUAGCUCAUGCCUGACAUUCUGCAUAGGAGCAGCAUUCUUAGCUCCUCAAUUUGGGUUUAAUGGUUCUUUAGUUGAGAAUAGAAGGCAAUAAAGGAGAAUUGCAUUCUUUUUUCCUCUGUGGGUGGAAAUUUCCCAUCAGAUAAGGGGCCACUCCUUCUCUCUAGAACUAAUUUCUUGGGAAUUCCUAGACUCUUUCUCUCUCUCUUUUUAAUUUUGUUAAUGGCACUUAUUUUUGUUAAUAGGUAGAAUUUUUGAUGACUUCUCACACUGGUUCUGCUGUCUGAAACAAACUCUGCUUCCCUCCACAGGGCUCACCUCAGCAGCCCUCCUCCCAGUUCUCCAGCCUCAACCUCUUGAAUCUCUGACCUGGAUAAUGUACCUGGCUUUGGACAGUUCUCCUGGUCUCUAGGCUCACUCAAUUCUGCCUAUUUUCCACAUGGCCACUAGAACAUCUUCAUACUUACCUGAGGGUGUCCCCCUCAGUUCUCGGCCUUCACUGAUUGUCUUUUGCCUGUGAAACAGUGUCCAGACUGGGUGAAGAAACCGAGGACCCACCACCAUCUGCUCACAGACUACAACCCAAAGUCCAGCCUUUGAGAAUAUUAUUGUUCCUCUGUCCCAUCCCAUAAACACCUCCUGUGUUCAGUCCCCCCUCAGAGUGCGCUUCCUCUGUCACACAGCUCUGGCCUUCUCAGACUGGCCUGUUCUAGGAUUAUUUAUGGGUGUGCUACAGCUCUUCCAGCAGUGGGAAGUCUGCUGCGUCUUGUUAAUUUUUAAUUUCCCCAUGGCAACUACUUCAGAGCUGCAUGUGUGACAUGUACUUGCCAGACACUCAAUUAAGCUUCAGUAAACAUUGGGAUGAAAAUGUGGAGGAGUUAAUGCAUGCAUUCGAUUAUUUUUUAUUUAAUUUCAAUACAGGAUCUUUCUAGGUUUUCCUGGCUGGCCCUGAACUCACCAUCCUCCUGACUCAGUCUUGAGUAGUUGGGAUUACAGAUGUGACACUGUCCCUAACUUUAAUGACUUAAAAAAAAUAAAACAAAAAACAAUAUCAUAGCUUUAUUCAAAACCACAGUUGCACAAAAGUAGUAACUUCAAAGUUUGAAAGGAGAGAUUCUCAAAGAACUUAACCACUAUAUACAUACUGCCAUACAAAUAGCAUUAAAAUAGGAUCUAAAACUUAUAUAAAAAUAGGAACCCCACUUAUUUAUUUGCAUGAAAAUACUAUCCAC